rnacentral:rRNA from 1 species
UACAGAGGGGGCGAGCGUUGUUCGGAAUUACUGGGCGUAAAGGGCGCGUAGGCGGCCAACUAAGUCAGACGUGAAAUCCCUCGGCUCAACCGGGGAACUGCAUCCGAUACUGGCGUGCUAGAGAAUUGGAGAGGAGUCUAGAAUUCACGGUGUAGCAGUGAAAUGCGUAGAUAUCGUGAGGAAUACCAAGUGCGAAGGCAGGACUCUGGACAUUUUUCUGACGCUGAGACACGAAGGCUAGGGGGAGCAAACGGG